CAGUAGCCGCGGUAAUACGGAGGGGGCUAGCGUUGUUCGGAAUUACUGGGCGUAAAGCGCACGUAGGCGGCUUUGUAAGUUAGAGGUGAAAGCCCGGGGCUCAACUCCGGAAUUGCCUUUAAGACUGCAUCGCUAGAAUUGUGGAGAGGUAAGUGGAAUUCCGAGUGUAGAGGUGAAAUUCGUAGAUAUUCGGAAGAACACCAGUGGCGAAGGCGACUUACUGGACACAUAUUGACGCUGAGGUGCGAAAGCGUGGGGAGCAAACAGGAUUAGAUACCCCCGUAGUCCCUGUCUCUUAUAC
rnacentral:rRNA from 1 species